rnacentral:rRNA from 1 species
GACGAAGGUGGCGAGCGUUGUUCGGAAUCACUGGGCAUAAAGCGCACGUAGGCGGCGACGUAAGUUGGGUGUGAAAUCCCUCGGCCCAACCCGAGGAACUGCGCCCAGUACUGCGUUGCUUGAGGAUCCAAGGGGUGCAUGGAAUUCCCGGUGGAGCGGUGAAAUGCGUUGAUAUCGGGAGGAACACCUGUGGUGUAGACAGCUUCUGGACCAUUGCUGACGCUGAGACACGAAAGCGUGGGUAGCAAACAGG